GCAGUAGAUUCAAACCUGCCUAUGCCUGUGUUCACCUUAGUAGCCUAAUGUGAGAGUGCUGGGGUAGAGUUCCAAAGCGACAUCUGACAUUUUCUCAGUGGAACAUUGGAGCAGGAAGACCCCACAGAUGUCCACACUGAGGCCCAUUUUUCUCACAUGUACCAUUGAGCCUACACUUGAAAUGAUUUUUUUUUGUUCUCUCUUCUCAUUGUGUAGGGUUGUUACAUGGGGCAGUGGUCAUCUCAAAUCAAAGCAUUCUUUGGCCUCCAACUCAUAAGGACCUUACAGUGUUGUCUUGGAGACAAACAGACACACAAAUGUUCUAAGAAAUAGUUACCAAGCGAUGAAUUAGCAUAUGGAAAUGAGAUCAUAGUACAGGUUGAACAUCUGCGAGCCGAGGGAUUGUGUAAGACUAGGGACAGAGCAGCAUCUUUUCUGUAUAAAUUACACAAGAACAGAUACACUUUGAUCCACCUUGUGCAAAAUAGUAUUCUGCAAAAGUCCUUUUCGUUCUCGCUGGAGAUGUUGUGUGGAGGUUGAUGGAGCGUGUGUUGGCAGCCUGACACCCAGCAAAGCUAGCGUCCCUCCCACCCUGCUUGGUGCCGGUGUUUGCUGGCCAGAGUUUUCUGUGCAAAUGGAGCCCCAAGGAGCACCAUCCCUGUUCUUCCCACGUCGCUGCCCUCACACACCCAGUGCGUGCACUUUCAACCCUGGUGUCCUGCAACUGUCAGCUGCUGCUCCACAAAGAAUGGGAAACAAGAACCACUUGUUGAGCGCUAGUUUUCACUGGAAAAGGGGUAAUUCCAAGAAGGAUCUGGCUGUCACUGGCACCAGAGAACACAGCAGUGCUUGCACCAACAAACUUCCCAGGACUCAAAUGCAGGAGGCUAAGAUGGAAGACUUUUGCACAGUGUUCUUGUCUACCGCGGUCUCCUUGAGAACUCAGGAAGCACACUGUGGGUGGGAAAAGGACACAAUAAACUAUUUCAGCUCUUGAGAGCGACAUGCAAGAUGAAAACACAGAAAAACUUAAUUUCAUCUCUACUCGUACUUUGCUAUAAAUGUAGCUGGUCCUAUUUGUAACUGCCUGCUUAUUUCCUAGCCCU
rnacentral:lncRNA from 1 species